rnacentral:rRNA from 1 species
GUGGGGAAUUUUGGACAAUGGGCGCAAGCCUGAUCCAGCAAUGCCGCGUGCAGGAAGAAGGCCUUCGGGUUGUAAACUGCUUUUGUACGGAACGAAACGGUCCUGGUUAAUACCUGGGGCUAAUGACGGUACCGUAAGAAUAAGCACCGGCUAACUACGUGCCAGCAGCCGCGGUAAUACGUAGGGUGCGAGCGUUAAUCGGAAUUACUGGGCGUAAAGCGUGCGCAGGCGGUGCUGUAAGACAGGCGUGAAAUCCCCGGGCUCAACCUGGGAAUUGCGAUUGUGACUGCAGUGCUGGAGUACGGCAGAGGGGGAUGGAAUUCCGCGUGUAGCAGUGAAAUGCGUAGAUAUGCGGAGGAACACCGAUGGCGAAGGCAGUCCCCUGGGCCUGUACUGACGCUCAUGCACGAAAGCGUGGGGAGCAAACAGGAUUAGAAACCCGGGUAGUCC